rnacentral:rRNA from 1 species
UACGGAGGGUGCGAGCGUUGUCCGGAAUCACUGGGCGUAAAGGGCGCGUAGGCGGCGCGGAUAGUCGGCGGUGAAAGCCCGGAGCUCAACUCCGGGUCGGCCGUCGAUACUUCCGGGCUUGAGCACUGUAGAGGCAGAUGGAAUUCCGGGUGUAGCGGUGGAAUGCGUAGAGAUCCGGAAGAACACCAGUGGCGAAGGCGGCCCGCUGGACAAGUAUUGACGCUGAGGUGCGAAAGCGUGGGGAGCAAACAGG